rnacentral:misc_RNA from 1 species
CGCACAUUGCGCCCUUUGGUAUUCCUUAGGGCAUGCCUGUUCGAGCGUCAUUUAAACCUUCAAGCUCAGCUUGGUGAUGGGUGACUGUCCUCCCCUCGCGGGGGGACUCGCCUCAAAAACAUUGGCGGCCGGUACAUUGGCUUCGAGCGCAGCAGAAACGCGGUCUCGAGUCCGAUGGACUGGCUCCCAUAAGCCUUCUUUUAUUUUGACCUCGGAUCAGGUAGGGAUACCCGCUGAACUUAA